GAGGAAGACUGCCCUUGAUAGGGACUAUACCAAGUUCUUCUUUGCAGCAAAACCUCAGGGUUUUGAGUCUCGUAUUCACAUCUUUUUACUAAGAAGGGCUCCUCCAGACUCCUGGUGUAUAUUUGUUGGAGGCCUUAAAUUUAUUCCUAAUUAAAUGGGGAGACAAGUCUUUCCAGAGGAACUUCUACUUUACUUUUUACAAUUCCUCCUCUUAUUUCAUAAUUCUUCUUCAAACUUGUUUAAUAUGUUUUGACUUAAUUGCUUUGUUUGUCCUUUUAAGAGAAGUAAUUUUUCUGAAUAAGGUGGAGGAGAGUUAGGAGUUAACUCUGUAAGCAUGGCAGAGACAGGUUUUUGUGUAAAACUUCGACGGUAGGGAAUAAUAUAACAGCCUACAAGAAUAAGUACACCAAUAACAACAGCAAAUGAGCUGUUCGUGGCAGUACAUUGCGGAGCAUAGAACGAAACCGGGUGUGGAACACUGAGUCCCAAGGAUAGCCAUCUUCAGAGAUACGGCUCAUGACCCAGGUACAUGGUAAGCAGAGAGCAUCACACCUGAGCAGCAUUCUUACUCAGCUCAACAGCAAUAUCUGAGCCUGAGUUUCCCAUUCCAAUCACCAGGAUGCGUUUUCCCUCAAAUCCAUCUGGAUGCUUGUAUUGGCGGCUAUGGAAAUAUUGGCCUUUGAACCUCUCCAUACCUUCAGGGGGAAGAAGAGAGAAGUCUGUGAGCUCCAGAGCAACUAUGUCAAGCUAAUUUCAAUAAAACUGCAUUGCCAGCUUUUCCUUUCUGGAGUUAAUA
rnacentral:lncRNA from 10 species